UGGCGAUUCGUAAUGAGUCGUCACUUUUAAUACAGCUGGUGUAAGCCAAAGGUCACAAGCCCUUGUAAAUUGUAGAGUGAAGU
rnacentral:ribozyme from 1 species